rnacentral:snoRNA from 1 species
GUUGAGGUCUAUCCCAAUGAGGCUUUUUCUGUAAACCUACAUCAUUGGAAACGCCUCACGGAGUAACUGUGGUUUCCUUUACUCAUAGAACUACCCGUUAGAUCAGUGGGGAAGAACUACAAGACAGAG